UUUUUUUGCUAGAUGAAGAACAAUAGCAUCUAGAAUUGAUUUUAUUGAUCAAAUCAAUGUUGAUCACAAAACUGAUUGGAAGAUAAAGGUUUGGAUCAUUCGAUUGUGGGAAGUGCCCGGAUAUGUUAAUCCUGUUGAAAUCAAUAAAGUUGAGAUGGUUGUUAUAGAUGAAAGGGGAGGGAAGAUACAUGCCAUAAUCAAGCGGCAGCUGUUGAGCAUGUUCCAAUCAAUCUUGAAAAGUGUGGACUAUGUGAUGUCUAACUUUAUUAUUGGAUACAAAAACGACUAAUAUAGAACAACAAAGCAUAAGUACAUGUUGAACUUUAUGACAAAAAUCUCUGUGGUUGUACGUGCUCAUGCCAACAUUCCAAGAGAUGGGUUUGUAUUUGUGCCUUUUGUUGAAAUUAUUUUACCAAAAGAUGAGACAUAUUUUGUUGG